UGGGGAAUAUUGGACAAUGGGCGAAAGCCUGAUCCAGCCAUGCCGCGUGUGUGAAGAAGGCCUUUUGGUUGUAAAGCACUUUAAGCGAGGAGGAGGCUACUUAGAUUAAUACUCUAGGAUAGUGGACGUUACUCGCAGAAUAAGCACCGGCUAACUCUGUGCCAGCAGCCGCGGUAAUACAGAGGGUGCGAGCGUUAAUCGGAUUUACUGGGCGUAAAGCGUGCGUAGGCGGCUUCUUAAGUCGGAUGUGAAAUCCCUGAGCUUAACUUAGGAAUUGCAUUCGAUACUGGGAAGCUAGAGUAUGGGAGAGGAUGGUAGAAUUCCAGGUGUGGCGGUGAAAUGCGUAGAGAUCUGGAGGAAUACCGAUGGCGAAGGCAGCCAUCUGGCCUAAUACUGACACUGAGGUACGAAAGCAUGGGGGGCAAACAGG
rnacentral:rRNA from 1 species